rnacentral:rRNA from 1 species
AGUGAACGCUGGCGGCAGGCCUAAUACAUGCAAGUCGAACGGCAGCACAGCAGAGCUUGCUCUGUGGGUGGCGAGUGGCGGACGGGUGAGGAAUACAUGGGAAUCUGCCCAGUCGUGGGGAUAACGUAGGGAAACUUACGCUAAUACCGCAUGCGCCCUUCGGGGGAAAGCCGGGGACCGUAAGGCCUGGCGCGAUUGGAUGAGCCCAUGUCGGAUUAGCUAGUUGGCGGGGUAAAGGCCCACCAAGGCGACGAUCCGUAGCUGGUCUGAGAGGAUGAUCAGCCACACUGGAACUGAGACACGGUCCAGACUCCUACGGGAGGCAGCAGUAGGGAAUAUUGGACAAUGGGCGCAAGCCUGAUCCAGCCAUGCCGCGUGAGUGAAGAAGGCCCUCGGGUUGUAAAGCUCUUUUGUCCGGAAAGAAAAGCGCCGGGUUAAUACCCUGGUGUCCUGACGGUACCGGAAGAUAAGCACCGGCUAACUUCGUGCCAGCAGCCGCGGUAAU